rnacentral:rRNA from 1 species
GAUCCUGCUCAGGAUGAACGCUAGCGGCAGGCUUAACACAUGCAAGUCGAGGGGCAGCGGGGUGUAGCAAUACACUGCCGGCGACCGGCGCACGGGUGCGUAACGCGUAUGCAACCUACCCAUAACAGGGGCAUAACACUGAGAAAUUGGUACUAAUUCCCCAUAACAUUCGAAGAGGCAUCUCUUUGGGUUGAAAACUCCGGUGGUUAUGGAUGGGCAUGCGUUGUAUUAGCUAGUUGG